AUUGAACGCUGGCGGCAUGCUUUACACAUGCAAGUCGAACGGUAACAGGCCGCAAGGUGCUGACGAGUGGCGAACGGGUGAGUAAUGCAUCGGAACGUGCCCAGUCGUGGGGGAUAACGCAGCGAAAGCUGCGCUAAUACCGCAUACGAUCUAUGGAUGAAAGCGGGGGACCUGUAAGGGCCUCGCGCGAUUGGAGCGGCCGAUGUCAGAUUAGGUAGUUGGUGGGGUAAAGGCUCACCAAGCCGACGAUCUGUAGCUGGUCUGAGAGGACGACACGCCACACUGGGACUGAGACACGGCCCAGCCUCCUACGGGAGGCAGCAGUGGGGAAUUUUGGACAAUGGGCGCAGGCCUGAUCCAGCAAUGCCGCGUGCAGGAAGAAGGCCUUCGGGUUGUAAACUGCUUUUGUACGGAACGAAACGGCUCUGGUUAAUACCUGGGGCUAAUGACGGUACCGUAAGAAUAAGCACCGGCUAACUACGUGCCAGCAGCCGCCGUAACAC
rnacentral:rRNA from 1 species